CUGAGGUUCAUUGUUCAUUGACUUAAUUUGCUCCAGCUGAAGCCAGAGAAUCUAACUCAGCUGCCAGUGCAACUGGGGUGAUUCAAUCUCUUUCUCCUGGUAGCUCCAGCUGAGAGAAGGUAUUUGUGAUGUAACUUGCUACCUGGCAGUCAUUAAUUUCACUGACACAGGGAUGCCGAAACCUUCUCAAUCCUUUUCUGAUAGCCGUGAAUCAGAGCGAUCAGGAGAUCUAAUAUUUCACUCCAGAAAUUCUGUUUACAGAAACUCUGCAUUUGUGUUUGGUUUUUGCUCCUACCAGCAGUAUGAGUUGCAGUCUGAUUUCACCACCUUCUGCAGAGUGUUCUGCUUUGUUUCUGUUGAUGGCUGUUCUCUUUUGUAGUCCCAUUAAUUAUGACAUUUUAAAGCUUCUAGUGAAACAAUGAAUGUACUCAGGUGAAUAGUUCAGAACAGAGGAGUUCAGUGCUGUGAGAUGGAAUAUUCAUUUUUCUUGUGUUGUUUUGAUUAUUUGUUUAGCUGUGGUAUUUUUUGUUUUAUCUUGUUUUUACUUAGUCUUUGAAUUUAGAAGUAGAUUUUACCUCCUAGUCUGAGAACAAAGCAUAUUGUAUGAGUUGACUACCAAGAAGCUUGAUCCUAUGAGUCUAGACAAGCAAUCUCAAGUCAUUUUGUAAAUUAAGAGAUGAGGCAGGAAGGCCUAGCACCUUUAUAUUUUUAUUUAUUCUAGCUAUUUGGAGUCCUGAAGGCACAAAGUUUAGGUCUACACAUCUCAAUGAUAUGUAAUCUGUGCUGAGGUUAACCAAAGAAAUUGGGAUGUCCAGCAGUCCUGGCAUUGUAGAGAGCCUUAAGAAAGCUUUUCUGAAUCCAACAGUGAUGAAAAUAUCAUUCCAUUUUAAUUUCUAGUUCUGCAGCCAUUGCUAGGUGUAUUUAGUAAUAGACAAAUGACAAAUGUCAUUAGCUUCAGUGCAAAUAUUUGUGCUUUUAAGUAAAGGCCAGGGUAACGAUGAGAUCAAGGCUUUUGAGUUGCAUUAAAAAAAAUAAAAUCUGAGAUUUCCAUAGUAGAUUGAACUGU
rnacentral:lncRNA from 1 species